rnacentral:rRNA from 1 species
AUUGAACGCUGGCGGCAGGCCUCACACAUGCAAGUCGAGCGGAGCGGCGGACGGGUUAGUAAUGCCUAGGAAUCUGCCUGGUAGUGGUGGCUAAUGUCUGUAAACGGGCUCUAAUACCGCAUAAUAUCAGAUGAGCCUAGGUCGGAUUAGCUUGUUGGUGGGGUAAAGGCCUACCAAGGCGACGAUCCGUAACCGGUCUGAGAGGAUGAUCAGUACCACUGGAACGGAGACACGGUCCAGACACCUACGGGAGGCAGCAGUGGGGAAUAGUGGAAAAUGGGCGAAAGCCUGAUCCAGCCAUGCCGCGUGUGUGAAGAAGGUCUUCGGAUUGUAAAGUACUUUAAGUUGGGAGGCGUUACCAACAGAGUAAGCACCGGCUAACUUCGUGCCAGCAGCCGCGGUAAUAC